UACGUAGGGUGCGAGCGUUGUCCGGAAUUACUGGGCGUAAAGAGCUCGCAGGUGGUUUGUCGCGUCGUCUGUGAAAUUCCGGGGCUUAACCUCGGGCGUGCAGGCGAUACGGGCAAUACUUGAGUGCUGUAGGGGAGACUGGAAUUCCUGGUGUAGCGGUGGAAUGCGCAGAUAUCAGGAGGAACACCGAUGGCGAAGGCAGGUCUCUGGGCAGUAACUGACGCUGAGGAGCGAAAGCAUGGGUAGCGAACAGGAUUA
rnacentral:rRNA from 1 species